rnacentral:lncRNA from 1 species
CUGUUAGUCUGUUACGAGAUCCCAGCUGAGUUAAAAAGUGAACUUUAACUAGUUUCACUUGAUGCUGCAGCUCGCGACUGCCAUCACAAGAUCAGAGCUAGACCAAGGCUCAAUCUGCUUUCCGUGUCACUAUCUGGAGUGGAGCGCAGAUGGGCACCACAACUUGCGAAGCUCCUGAGAUGAACAUGUGUCGCUUUCAAAACGAGCUUUCUCCCCCCACCUCCCCAAGGCAGGAAGAGGGUGACUCACUCAAUCUCUCUCUUUUCUUCCUUCCCUCCCUCUCUAGCCUCAGAUGCCUGGGUGUGCUGGGGUGCAGCAAGUGGAGGGACCCACGUUCUCGGCAGAAUACAGCAGAAAGAAAAGCCGUUGGAGAACUGGUGAAGUACCAUGAUUAAUUCUGGAAAGUCAGUGGGCCAAGGACCAGCCCUUCCGACUGAGCUGCCGAAAAGAAAGCGAGGGCGGCCUAGAAAGCAGCCACAGGAGUCUGCUGGGCCAUUGCCACCGAAGAAACCACGUGGAAGGCCAAAAGGAAGCAAGAAGUUGAAUACUGGUAGUGGACAGAUGGUGCACACCAUGGCUGAAAAAAAGCCCAGGGGAAGACCACGGAAAUGGCUUAUUGUCCAGGAGGAUGCAUAUCAAAAAGCUGGUACUGAAGGGAGAAUCAACCCAAGUUCUGCUACUGCAUGCCCUACCACUGAAGGUACAUCUUCUGGAAAAGGCUGUCCCAGAACCAAACGAGUGAUCGAAUCCAAGAGACCACUGACCACCUCCCCAGCCAUGGCUCAGCAAGAGCCUGCUUGUUGAUGUGUUGAUGUGUUGCUGCAAUAAAAGUUUCUUAAACCCUCUGUCA